GACGAACGCUGGCGGCGUGCUUAACACAUGCAAGUCGAACGGAAAGGCCCUGCUUUUGUGGGGUGCUCGAGUGGCGAACGGGUGAGUAACACGUGAGUAACCUGCCCUUGACUUUGGGUUAACUUCAGGAAACUGGGGUUAAUACCGGAUAGGACCUCCUGCGGCAUGGUGGGGUUGGGAAAGUUUCGGCGGUUGGGGUUGGACUCGCGGCUUAUCAGCUUGUUGGUGGGGUAGUGGCUUACCAAGGCUUUGACGGGUAGCCGGCCUGAGAGGGUGACCGGCCACAUUGGGACUGAGAUACGGCCCAGACUCCUACGGGAGGCAGCAGUGGGGAAUAUUGCACAAUGGGCGGAAGCCUGAUGCAGCAACGCCGCGUGCGGGAUGACGGCCUUCGGGUUGUAAACCGCUUUCGCCUGUGACGAAGCGUGAGUGACGGUAAUGGGUAAAGAAGCACCGGCUAACUACGUG
rnacentral:rRNA from 1 species